UUUCCACAUUUUUCUAAUUUCUGAUUUUAUUUUCUUUAAUUCCAUUUUAUUUCAAAAAAUCAUAACUCUUUCAUUUUUAAUCCAAAAAUUAUGGGACCAAUUGCAUUAGUCUCCAAAUAAAUUAUAUUUUCUAUUUCUGAUUUUUAAUAUUUUUUAUUUUGUCAUUUGAUAUUUUUUGUGAUUUUUCUCUUUUCUGGUUAUUUUUAAUUCAUUUUAAAUAGUUUUUGAUAUUCAAAAAAUACAAAAAUAUUUUCCUAACCUAUUUGAAU
rnacentral:lncRNA from 1 species